rnacentral:rRNA from 1 species
GAUGAACGCUGGCGGCGUGCUUAACACAUGCAAGUCGAGCGAAGCGGUUAAGAAGAUUCUUCGGAUGAUUCUUAACUGACUGAGCGGCGGACGGGUGAGUAACGCGUGGGUGACCUGCCCCAUACCGGGGGAUAACAGCUGGAAACGGCUGCUAAUACCGCAUAAGCGCACAGAGCUGCAUGGCUCGGUGUGAAAAACUCCGGUGGUAUGGGAUGGACCCGCGUCUGAUUAGGCAGUUGGCGGGGUAACGGCCCACCAAACCGACGAUCAGUAGCCGGCCUGAGAGGGCGACCGGCCACAUUGGGACUGAGACACGGCCCAAACUCCUACGGGAGGCAGCAGUGGGGAAUAUUGCACAAUGGGGGAAACCCUGAUGCAGCGACGCCGCGUGAGCGAAGAAGUAUUUCGGUAUGUAAAGCUCUAUCAGCAGGGAAGAUAAUGACGGUACCUGACUAAGAAGCC